rnacentral:rRNA from 1 species
AUUGAACGCUGGCGGCAGGCCUAACACAUGCAAGUCGAGCGGAUGAAGGGAGCUUGCUCCUGGAUUCAGCGGCGGACGGGUGAGUAAUGCCUAGGAAUCUGCCUGGUAGUGGGGGAUAACGUCCGGAAACGGGCGCUAAUACCGCAUACGUCCUGAGGGAGAAAGUGGGGGAUCUUCGGACCUCACGCUAUCAGAUGAGCCUAGGUCGGAUUAGCUAGUUGGUGGGGUAAAGGCCUACCAAGGCGACGAUCCGUAACUGGUCUGAGAGGAUGAUCAGUCACACUGGAACUGAGACACGGUCCAGACUCCUACGGGAGGCAGCAGUGGGGAAUAUUGGACAGUGGGCGAAAGCCUGAUCCAGCCAUGCCGCGUGUGUGAAGAAGGUCUUCGGAUUGUAAAGCACUUUAAGUUGGGAGGAAGGGCAGUAAGUUAAUACCUUGCUGUUUUGACGUUACCAACAGAAUAGCACCGGCUAACUUCGUG